ACUUGGUGUGAAUUGCAGAAUCCCGUGAACCAUCGAGUCUUUGAACGCAAGUUGCGCCCGAAGCCUUCUGGCUGAGGGCACGCCUGCCUGGGCGUCACGCA
rnacentral:rRNA from 1 species